rnacentral:rRNA from 1 species
UACAGAGGGUGCAAGCGUUAAUCGGAAUUACUGGGCGUAAAGCGUGCGUAGACGGUCAUGUAAGUCGGGUGUGAAAGCCCCGGGCUCAACCUGGGAAUUGCAUUCGAGACUGCAUGGCUAGGAUGCGGAAGAGGGAAGCGGAAUUUCCGGUGUAGCGGUGAAAUUCGUAGAUAUUCGGAGGAACACCGGUGGCGAAGGCGGAUCUCUGGGCCAUUACUGACGCUGAGGAGCGAAAGCGUGGGGAGCGAACAGG